GUAACACGUAAGUAACCUGCCCUUUAGUGGGGGAUAACGCUCCGAAAGGAUCGCUAAUACCGCAUAAGAUCUCUUUUUCGCAUGAUUUGGAGAUGAAAGAUUUAUUGCUAAAGGAUGGGCUUGCGUAUGAUUAGCUAGUUGGUAAGGUAAUGGCUUACCAAGGCUACGAUCAUUAGCUGGUCUGAGAGGAUGAACAGCCACACUGGGACUGAGAUACGGCCCAGACUCC
rnacentral:rRNA from 1 species